UUUUUAUGGAGAGUUUGAUCCUGGCUCAGGACGAACGCUGGCGGCGUGCUUAACACAUGCAAGUCGAACGGUAAGGCCCUUUCGGGGGUACACGAGUGGCGAACGGGUGAGUAACACGUGGGUGACCUGCCCUGUACUUCGGGAUAAGCCUGGGAAACUGGGUCUAAUACCGGAUAUGACCUUCUCCUGCAUGGGGGUUGGUGGAAAGUUUUUGCGGUACAGGAUGGGCCCGCGGCCUAUCAGCUUGUUGGUGGGGUAAUGGCCUACCAAGGCGACGACGGGUAGCCGGCCUGAGAGGGCGACCGGCCACACUGGGACUGAGACACGGCCCAGACUCCUACGGGAGGCAGCAGUGGGGAAUAUUGCACAAUGGGCGAAAGCCUGAUGCAGCGACGCCGCGUGAGGGAUGACGGC
rnacentral:rRNA from 1 species